rnacentral:rRNA from 1 species
AACGCGAAGAACCUUACCUGGGCUCGAAAUGCAGGAGACCGGGGUAGAAAUAUCCUUUCCCCGCAAGGGGCUGCUGUAUAGGUGCUGCAUGGCUGUCGUCAGCUCGUGUCGUGAGAUGUUGGGUUAAGUCCCGCAACGAGCGCAACCCUCAUCCCUAGUUGCCACCGGGUCAAGCCGAGCACUCUAGUGAAACCGCCCCGGAUAACGGGGAGGAAGGUGGGGAUGACGUCAAGUCCUCAUGGCCUUUAUGUCCAGGGCUACACACGUGCUACAAUGGUCGGUACAAACCGUCGCAAAGCCGCAAGGUGGAGCUAAUCGGAAAAAGCCGGCCUCAGUUCGGAUUGGAGUCUGCAACUCGACUCCAUGAAGCUGGAAUCGCUAGUAAUCGCAGAUCAGAACGCUGCGGUGAAUACGUUCCCGGGCCUUGUA